AGUGAACGCUGGCGGUAGGCCUAACACAUGCAAGUCGAACGGCAGCACAGUAAGAGCUUGCUCUUACGGGUGGCGAGUGGCGGACGGGUGAGGAAUACAUCGGAAUCUACUUUUUCGUGGGGGAUAACGUAGGGAAACUUACGCUAAUACCGCAUACGACCUACGGGUGAAAGCAGGGGAUCUUCGGACCUUGCGCGAUUGAAUGAGCCGAUGUCGGAUUAGCUAGUUGGCGGGGUAAAGGCCCACCAAGGCGACGAUCCGUAGCUGGUCUGAGAGGAUGAUCAGCCCAAACGGAACUGGAGAACGGUCCAGACCCCUACGGGAAGGAGCAGUGGGGAAUAUUGGACAAUGGGCGGAAGCCUGAUCCAGCCAUACCGCGUGGGUGAAGAAGGCCUUCGGGUUGUAAAGCCCUUUUGUUGGGAAAGAAAAGCAGCAGGUUAAUACCCCGCUGUUCUGACGGUACCCAAAGAAUAAGCACCGGCUAACUUCGUG
rnacentral:rRNA from 1 species